rnacentral:lncRNA from 1 species
CCCACUCGCGGCAGAGACUAUCUAUCUUCAUAGACUAGCUAGCUAGCUACCUGUAGCUAGCUAAGUUACCUUUAUUUGUACAUGUACUAUCAUAGCAUUGCCUGUUUUAAAAGGUACGAAAGUACGAAAGUACCUUCGAAGGUACGAAGGUACUUUCGUACCUUCGUAGUCCUCAACAGUACGCGUACUGUACGUGUACAACUACACUACUGUACAUAAAUUCGAAAAAAGCGUUGCCUAAAAAAAGCGUUACUCGUGACGAAAAAAACACGUACAAAAGUGUACGCGCGAAACACUGCUCCUCCGCGCGCGAUGCACGUCUGCCCGCAAAACUUUGCACGAUGACAGUACUAAGGCAUGCGCACAGCCCUAUGGUGGUUUUUUUUCGAAUUUCGCGCGCGUCGCGAAGAAAGCGCAGAUCUUGCCCGAAAUCGCGAUUCGCGAAGAUCGCGUACCCCACUCGCGGCAGAGAGCAUGAACGCGAAAUCCCCCACCAUAGGAAGUUCAACCUUGAUGCCUGGAACGAGAUGGUGCAAAUAAAAAUCGUCGCGAUCUCAUUUGAGGAAGGAGUAGUGUUUCGCGUCGAGGGAACAGCUCUUUAAGAAAUGGCUUCGUCGUGCCACAACGACUGGACGGGCUGUAAUAUUAUGAUAUUGAAAAAUCUGCCACUAUCGCCCGCGCCACUUCCAUCUCGUCUUUCGAAAGCAUGUCAUGGUUCAGACAAACUGGGCAUACCCACGUGACAUUCUUGAAAAACUCAGUCGUCCGCUCCCUUUCCUCGGGAUAAAAAAAGUGAAUGUGUUCGUCGCCGCGCGCGAAUUCGGUCAACAUCUCGCACUAUUCGCGUCUGCGCGCGAAACUCAAAAAAAAAAAGACCCGACGUACGAUUGUGCGCAUGCUUUAGUACUGGCAUCGUGCAUAGUUUCGCGCGCAGACGCGCAUCGCGCGCGGAGGAGAUAGGUUUCGCGCGCGGGUGUUGGCGCGUACACUUUUGUAUGUGUAAUUGGUCACGAGUAUGUUUUUUAGGUGGUUUAUCUAUGGAGAUAAAUAAAUACUU